AUUGAACGCUGGCGGCAGGCCUAACACAUGCAAGUCGAGCGAGUGGCGGACGGGUGAGUAAUGUCUGGGUAACUUCCCGAUGGAGGGGGAUAACUACUGGAAACGGUAUCUAAAUCCCCACAUCACUUGACUUGCCCAGAGGGGCUUAGCUAGUAGGUGGGGUAACGGCUCACCUAGGCGACGAUCCCUAGCUGGGCUGAGAGGGUGACCAGCCACACUGGAACUGAGACACGGUCCAGACUCCUACGGGAGGCAGCAGUGGGGAAUAUUGCACAAUGGGCGCAAGCCUGAUGCAGCCAUGCCGCGUGUGUGAAGAAGGCCUUCGGGUUGUAAAGCACUUUCAGCGGGGAGGCGUUACCCGCAGAAGAAGCACCGGCUAACGCCGUGCCAGCAGCCGCGGUAAUUC
rnacentral:rRNA from 1 species